rnacentral:misc_RNA from 1 species
GUUGGCUGGUGGACGCUUGUGGGGCGGCUUGUGUUUUGGCGGAAACUUUUCACCCUUUCCCUUGUGUGAGUCAUCGAUUAUUUCUUCCUCAACUAAAAGAUGUCCGUGUGGUGGCUUAUAUCCCUUACCCUUAUGCGAGUCCUCCACGACAUCCUCUGCCAAAAGGCGUCUAUAUCCUGGCAGAGGAUUUUGUGAUGGAAACUUCUCUCCCUUACUCUUAGGAGGUUUAAAAGAAUCCUCUUCAUCCUCAACUAGAAGGUGUCCAUGUGGGGGUUGGUGUUUAGGUGGUGUUUUCUCACCCUUAUCCUUUGGAGGUCCAUGAAAGUCCCCUACAUUCUCACUUAAAAGGUGAACACGUGGGGGCUUAUGGUUUAGGGGUGGUUUCUCGCCUUUACCUUUAGGAGGUUCUAGGCGAUUAGCCAGUGAUGUGGGGGUAGCAGAGAGAAUCACUACUACUCCGAGCAGGAAUAACACUAACAAGCAUUUAGGAGAAGACAUCUUUGUUUUGAUUUUUGUUCGAGGUGCGAAACUCAGAAGGAUUGGUUUGCCUUUUAUAGUACUACAUGGUUAGACCUAUGCCGUCACCACCCAUGUCACACAGCAUUUGGCGUUUACAAUCCAGUAGGCGAGUUCAUUUUCAACUUUGGCUCGUGGGAAAUUUUCGUUAGGGAGAGAGGUAAUGGGUCCGAAUUUGAGUUGAAAACUUUGACAGAUUCGCCAAGGUUGCUCUCUCCCCAACAUAGAUCUUCUCAUACUUAUAAAUUAAGUACAAUUUUGGAACUAAAGCCAUUCCCUGUAAUUCUUAACCUCAAGCUUCAUUGUCUCUAGGCAAGACUACUAUUUCCCACCUUCUUUUGUAGAAAUUUGACAUCUUGACACCAUAAAUUAGAAGUCCAGAUAGAAUUUUUUUUUUCUCAGUAGUAAUUAAUGUGAUUAAUAAGUGGAUAAAAAAAUUAAUUUUUAUAUUUUCUUUGAAUCAUGAAAUCCG